rnacentral:rRNA from 1 species
UACGGAAGGCAGCAGUGGGGAAUAUUGCACAAUGGGCGCAAGCCUGAUGCGGCCAUGCCGCGUGUAUGAAGAAGGCCUUCGGGUUGUAAAGUACUUUCAGUCGUGAGGAAGGUGUUAAGGUUAAUAACCUUAGCAAUUGACGUUAGCGACAGAAGAAGCACCGGCUAACUCCGUGCCAGCAGCCGCGGUAAUACGGAGGGUGCGAGCGUUAAUCGGAAUUACUGGGCGUAAAGGGCACGCAGGCGGUUAAUUAAGUUGGAUGUGAAAUCCCCGGGCUUAACCUGGGAAUGGCAUUCAAGACUGGUUAGCUAGAGUCUUGUAGAGGGGGUAGAAUUCCAUGUGUAGCGGUGAAAUGCGUAGAGAUGUGGAGGAAUACCGGUGGCGAAGGCGGCCCCUGGACAAAGACUGACGCUCAUGUGCGAAAGCGUGGGGAGCAAACGAGGGAUUAGAU